rnacentral:rRNA from 1 species
GUAGGGAAUAUUGGGCAAUGGAUGCAAGUCUGACCCAGCCAUCCCGCGUGCCGGAAGAAGGCCCUCAGGGUUGUAAACGGCUUUUGACGGUGAAGAAUCGACAGGAUGCGUCCUGUUUUGACGGUAGCCGUUGAAUAAGCACCGGCUAACUCCGUGCCAGCAGCCGCGGUAAUACGGAGGGUGCGAGCGUUGUCCGGAUUUAUUGGGUUUAAAGGGUGCGUAGGCUGGAAGGUCAGUCAGCGGUGAAAAGCUGUCGGUUAACGAUAGUCUUGCCGCAGAUACUUCCUUUCUUGGAUGAGGAGGAGGCCACUGGAACGGAUGGUGUAGCGGUGAAAUGCAUAGAUAUCAUCCAGAACACCGAUUGCGAAGGCAGGUGGCUGUACCUUAAUCGACGCUGAUGCACGAAAGCAUGGGGAGCAAACAGGAUUAGAAACCCCUGUAGUCC